AUUGAACGCUGGCGGCAUGCCUAACACAUGCAAGUCGAACGGGGCAGCAAUGCCUAGUGGCGGACGGGUGAGGAAUGCGUAGGAAUCUGCCCUUAAGUGGGGGAUAACCAGGGGAAACCCUGACUAAUACCGCAUGAUCUCUUCGGAGCAAAGAGGGGGACCGCAAGGCCUCUCGCUUCUGGAUGAGCCUACGUCUGAUUAGCUAGUAGGUAGGGUAAAGGCCUACCAAGGCGACGAUCAGUAACUGGUCUGAGAGGAUGAUCAGUCACACCGGAACUGAGACACGGUCCGGACUCCUACGGGAGGCAGCAGUGGGGAAUAUUGGACAAUGGGCGCAAGCCUGAUCCAGCAAUGCCGCGUGUGUGAAGAAGGCCUUCGGGUUGUAAAGCACUUUAGCCUGGAAAGAAAAAACUUUGGUUAACACCCAAAGUCUUGACGGUACCAGGAGAAUAAGCACCGGCUAACUCUGUGCCAGCAGCCGCAGUAAAAC
rnacentral:rRNA from 1 species